CCUACGGGAGGCUGCAGUAGGGAAUAUUGCUCAAUGGGGGAAACCCUGAAGCAGCAACGCCGCGUGGAGGAUGAAGGUUUUCGGAUUGUAAACUCCUUUUGUUAGAGAAGAUAAUGACGGUAUCUAACGAAUAAGCACCGGCUAACUCCGUGCCAGCAGCCGCGGUAAUACGGAGGGGGCAAGCGUUAUUCGGAAUCACUGGGCGUAAAGAGCGCGUAGGCGGGGUAGCAAGUCAGAUGUGAAAUCCUAUGGCUUAACCAUAGGACUGCAUUUGAAACUGUUCUUCUAGAGUAUGGGAGAGGUAGGUGGAAUUCUUGGUGUAGGGGUGAAAUGCGUAGAGAGUAAGAGGAAUACUCAUUGCGAAGGCGACCUGCUAGAACAUAACUGACGCUGAUGCGCGAAAGCGUGGGGAGCAAACAGGAUUAGAUACCCCUGUAGUC
rnacentral:rRNA from 1 species